rnacentral:rRNA from 1 species
CAGCCGCCACGGGAAUACGAAGGGUGCAAGCGUUACUCGGAAUUACUGGGCGUAAAGCGUGCGUAGGUGGUGGUUUAAGUCCGUUGUGAAAGCCCUGGGCUCAACCUGGGAAUUGCAGUGGAUACUGGAUCACUAGAGUGUGGUAGAGGAUAGUGGAAUUUCCGGUGUAGCAGUGAAAUGCGUAGAGACCGGAAGGAACAUCUGUGGCGAAGGCGACUAUCUGGGCCAACACUGACACUGAGGCACGAAAGCGUGGGGAGCAAACAGGAUUAGAUACCCCUGUAGUCCCUGUCUCUUAUAC